rnacentral:rRNA from 1 species
GACGAACGCUGGCGGCGUGCCUAAUACAUGCAAGUUGAGCGCUGAAGGUUGGUACUUGUACCAACUGGAUGAGCAGCGAACGGGUGAGUAACGCGUGGGGAAUCUGCCUUUGAGCGGGGGACAACAUUUGGAAACGAAUGCUAAUACCGCAUAAAAACUUUAAACACAAGUUUUAAGUUUGAAAGAUGCAAUUGCAUCACUCAAAGAUGAUCCCGCGUUGUAUUAGCUAGUUGGUGAGGUAAAGGCUCACCAAGGCGAUGAUACAUAGCCGACCUGAGAGGGUGAUCGGCCACAUUGGGACUGAGACACGGCCCUAACUCCUACGGGAGACAGCAGUAGGGAAUCUUCGGCAAUAGACGAAAGUCUGACCGAGCAACGCCGCGUGAGUGAAGAAGGUUUUCGGAUCGUAAAACUCUGUUGGUAGAGAAGAACGUUGGUGAGAGUGGAAAGCUCAUCAAGUGACGGUAACUACCCAGAAAGGGACGGCUAACUACGUG